GCGAGACCAUAACGCGCUUGCUCCGGAAAUUGAUCCAUGAGCAGCAUGAAGCAAAAGCAGCUAUCAAAAUUCAAAAGGCUUUUCGCACGUUUUCGUUGAAGCUAACUAUUCGCCGAUCCAAAGCGAUAGACCAGAACGAGGUGCCUCAGACAGAGAUAGUAGCUGUAUUAUAUUGGACCCAACUGAACUUGAAGAGGAGAAAAUGAAAGCAUUUGCCUAUUUAGUUUUUCCAAAUGCAAUUCUUUCAGUCCUACCAGAGGGAUCAUUGCAGGUGGGUUUGUUACGCAGGGUGCUAUGUCAGUGGAUGAUUAUCUUCACUGCCUAGAACGAGGGAGUGCUACUACUGUAAGGUUUUCUGAAUUUUUGAGGAAGAACAUAGAGCCUAAAUCAACAAGCGAAGCAUCUAAAGCCUGGUGAUUUCAAAUCAGCUAAAGCCAUAUGUCUCAUUUCAUAAACAGCUUGUACCUUUGGUACUAUGAUUAUGAUAUUUUGCCAACUAUUUUGUAAUUGU